ensembl:lncRNA
CUGUGAGCGGCUCACAGGGGGCAAUUGAUAAGUAUCUGUUGAGGGAACUGGGUACACAGAACAUCUUCUGGAUCGCUUACCUGCUUGAAAACAUUCUCAUGUGGUGCCCUAGAUUCUCACAGCAGACAAUGCUGUCAAGGAAAAGCCCAGCCUUGUACCAAGUUAUCAAUAUCAGCCGCGACCGGGUGAGGGGAGCCAUCCGUCCUCACAGAGACAUUAGCACGUCUUGAAUCGCCCCUGGAGCCUCUAUUUGAAAGGUGCAUCCAUCUGCAUGCAGCACCGAUGACACUGGCCUUGAUGUGAACAGCAGAGAACUUCAUUUUGCUCGUUCCUGUUAAGACGUGGGCGUCACUUUGUCGCUGGGGUGGCAGCCUCCUGUUCAAAGCAACCUGCACAAGUCAGUCAAAGAGGUAAAGAGAAGACUUGGUCUUGGAGUAACAUGGCUUCUCCAAAUAUCCAGAACUUCAUAUACAAACUCAGAGUCACUUACAGGUAUUAAGAAUGAUCCCCAAGCUCAGGAAUUAAGACCUGGCCUCCCUAAGCCUUCUAUUCCACCAUCCUGGGGCUCCAGAGGGGGCCUGAUGGCCUCACCCCUCCUCACCAUUCAAUAUUUACAGCUUCAUCACCAAUAAAUGAAUUUCCUACAUAUGAACCUUCAAGUUGCAAACUUUCAAAGAUGUAACUGUGCAUGCCAGCCC